CCUACGGGAGGCAGCAGUGAGGAAUUUUCCGCAAUGGGCGAAAGCCUGACGGAGCAAUACCGCGUGAGGGAUGAAGGAUUUUGGUCUGUAAACCUCUUUUCUCAAGAAAGAAGUUCUGACGGUACUUGAGGAAUAAGCAUCGGCUAACUCCGUGCCAGCAGCCGCGGUAAUACGGGGGAUGCAAGCGUUAUCCGGAAUGAUUGGGCGUAAAGCGCCUGUAGGUUGUUUAUUAAGUCCGUUGUUAAAGCCUAGGGCUUAACCCUAGAAAAGCAAUGGAAACUAGUAGACUAGAGUAUAGCAGGGGUAGAGGGAAUUUCUAGUGUAGCGGUGAAAUGCGUAGAUAUUAGAAAGAACACCGGUGGCGAAAGCGCUCUACUGGACCAUUACUGACACUCAGAGGCGAAAGCUAGGGUAGCAAAAGGGAUUAGAUACCCCUGUAGUCCUAGCCGUAAACGAUGGAUACUAGAUGUUGUGNAUAUAGUACUAGUAUCGUAGUCUACGUACGUUAACGUUACUCCGUCCGUCGGGUAGGUACGUCGUCGCGAGGUAGGAGACGUCAAGAAGUAGUAGCGCGNGAGNGCGACGACGACGACGACGGAGGAGG
rnacentral:rRNA from 1 species